rnacentral:rRNA from 1 species
GUCUACGGCCAUACCACCCUCAACUUGCCCAAUCUAGUCUGAUCUCAGAAGCUAAGCAGGGUCAGGCCUGGUUAGUGCUUGAAUGGGAAGAUAUAAAUU